rnacentral:misc_RNA from 1 species
GAAAUGCGAUAAGUAAUGUGAAUUGCAGAAUUCCGUGAAUCAUUAAAUCUUUGAACGCACAUUGCGCCUUUUGGUAUUCCUCAAGGCAUGCCUGUUCGAGAAUCAGUUUAACCAUCAAAUCUAUUUUGGAAACAACGUAUAUUUGGACUUGGGACUUCUCGAUAGAGAGACCCUAAUUAUAUUUGUUGCCCAUCUCUGACGAGACUAUAUGAACGGCAUGACCAUUGAACGCAAGUUCUUCUGAUUGCAACUAAUAUUUUUGAAGCUUUGAUGCCGUACAGAAUUUAUACGAAGCUGCACUUUAUGCGACUUUAAGACUUGAUCUCGAAUCAGACAAGACUACCCGCUGAACUUAA